rnacentral:rRNA from 1 species
GCUUAACACAUGCAAGUCGAACGGGGUCCAUCCACUCGCAAGAGUGGUGAAGACCUAGUGGCGAACGGGUGAGUAACACGUGAGAAACCUGCCCCGAAGACCGGGAUAACUCACCGAAAGGUGAGCUAAUACCGGAUGCCUUCACGACGUCUCAUGGCGAUGUGAAGAAAUGGAUUCCGCUUCGGGAGGGUCUCGCGGCCUAUCAGCUUGUUGGUGAGGUAACGGCUCACCAAGGCGACGACGGGUAGCUGUUCUGAGAGGAAGAUCAGCCACACUGGGACUGAGACACGGCCCAGACUCCUACGGGAGGCAGCAGUGGGGAAUCUUGCGCAAUGGGCGAAAGCCUGACGCAGCGAUGCCGCGUGCGGGAAGACGGCCUUCGGGUUGUAAACCGCUUUCAGCAGGGACGAAAUUGACGGUACCUGCAGAAGAAGCUCCGGCCAACUACGUGCCAGCAGCCGCGGUAAGACGUAGGGGGCGAGCGUUGUCCGGAAUUAUUGGGCGUAAAGGGCUCCUAGGCGGUUCAGUAAGUCGACUGUGAAAAUCCAAGGCUCAACCUUGGGACGCCAGUCGAUACUGCUGUGACUCGAGUUCGGUAGAGGAGUGUGGAAUUCCUGGUGUAGCGGUGAAAUGCGCAGAUAUCAGGAGGAACACCAACGGCGAAGGCAGCACUCUGGGCCGAUACUGACGCUGAAGAGCGAAAG